ACCACCUAAAUCCCCAAACUAAUUCUUCAACCCCAUUUUCAUCCCAACCAAACGACCCAAGUAUUCUUCACCCAAAUUCAAUGGAAAUCUGAAAUCCCUAACUAGCCAUCACCUCCACCCGUCUCCCAUUCACGUCACCUCUCCGCCGGCUCCACCGUCGGACCGCUGGAUCAAAGGGGUCAUCGAUGCCACUGUCAUCAUCAAUCACCUUUUCUCCCAUCUCCCUUUUCUGAAAAAUAGAGCUCAACAACUCCUAAAAGGUCAAUUGAGACCUCUGAAAAAGGGGAAGAGCAAAGAUCCAUCAGCCCAUCUCUCAAUCCGAUGGAUACAAACUAGAAUCGGCAAUAUUGCUACACCAAACGGCUCUUUCUCUUUCAAAUCACCUCUGAAAAGUUCUCGGCUGAGAAAAGACCACUUCAAGCGGAUUCCGAGACUCGACGACGAUAAUAGCCUCAGUUCACUGUCACGGAGAAGGUAAUCACACUCGUCCUCUCUUCGUCUUUCAUUUUUAUAAGAAGUAGAAAUGUAGUCGUUCAAGUAUUUCUCGUCGAUUACUUUGUUUGGUUGGUUGGAAUGUGUUCUCUCCUCGUUUGUUGUAAAUUAGUGUAAGGCGACUAAUUUCGUCGAAUAUGUGUUUAACCUCGUCGCUUGGCUAACUCUAUGUUGCAGUCAUUUUUUUUUUAGUCUGUGACGUUCCUAUUUCUAACAUAAAUCAGUGAAAAAAAUGACCUAUAGAAACCAUGAAUUUAACAAGGGAAAACUACUGAUUUACGAUAGUAUAAUAUGAGCUUCUAUGCAGAUUUGGUAUUCCCUUGUUGUUAUCUUCUCGUAUGAUCAAGUAAAUAUUUUUUUUUUUUAAAA